UGAGGAAUAUUGGACAAUGGAGGCAACUCUGAUCCAGCCAUGCCGCGUGCAGGAAGACGGCCCUAUGGGUUGUAAACUGCUUUUAUACAGGAAGAAUUGUGCCUACGUGUAGGUAUUUGACGGUACUGUACGAAUAAGGAUCGGCUAACUCC
rnacentral:rRNA from 1 species